UUUUUUCUUCAAAUAAAAAAAAUGGCCUUUUUUUGUAUAAACCUUACUUCUGUGGUAAAACAUAGAUUAUUAAGAGCAAUUUAUAUAUCCCUCAGCUAGAUAACUUGCUAAACUGGUUCAAAAUUGCAUGUACAGUGAGAUUUUGGAAUUCUUAUAUGAGUAUAUACCAUUUGCCUAGAUUGUAAAAGGCUACCAUAAGAAACACAAUAAAACUUGAAAAAUCAUAGGAUUAUUUUGACCAAGAGCUAUGUUGUACCAUAUGCAAGUCAUAAAAUACAUGUUUUA
rnacentral:lncRNA from 1 species